rnacentral:rRNA from 1 species
AAAACUUAAUAAUUUGACGGUGAUAUUUCCUAAAGGAACUGUAAUUUAAUCGAUACUUCACGAACUAUUUCACUUAUAUUUAUCUUGUAUACCUCCGUAUAGAUUUUAUUAUAAAUUUAAUUAUCUAAUAAAUCAUUAUUAAUAUAUCAGGUCAAGGUGCAGUAUAUAUAAGUUAUUAUGUGUUACAUUGAGAAAUUAUAAUUAGAUUUAAUUUGAAAAAAUUAAGGAAAAUGAAUUUAUAAGUAAAAAAAAUUAUAAUAUUUUUUUGAAAAGUAAGUAUUUAUGUACACAU